rnacentral:snoRNA from 1 species
AGACCAUGAUGAAGGCAUCACUUAAACAAGUCCUUGUAUCUUUCCUAGCCUCAUACAAUGAUUCACAAGGUUUUGUAUGAAUGAUGUGAUAUCAUUCCUCAUUUU